UGACUGUGCAAAGGUAGCAUAAUCAAUUGGCUUUUAAUUGGAGUCUAGUAUGAAUGGAUUUACGUAAAAGUUCUGUCUCAACAAAAUUUUUUUUAAAUUUUUUAAAAGGUGAAAAAACCUUUAGUAUCUAAAAGACGAGAAGACCCUAAGAAUUUUAAAAAAAUUAAUCUAUCUUUUUUGCUGGGGCGGCAACGGAUCAUGAAACAUCCGUAUAAUCGAGGUUUUCGUAUUAUAAAUUACCUUAGGGAUAACAGCACAAUUGUUACCUCGAUGUUGGACUAGGAACCUUAAGGUUAGAUACUCUAAAGGUGAGU
rnacentral:rRNA from 1 species